AUGGCCCGCCUCUCGUGCUGUUCACAGAAUUGCCUGACUCUAAUGCAGGAUAAUGGCCCCCAGUAUUUGCUUGCUCCCAUUUUCGCCGCCUCCUGGAACAACGUUUCAUCUCCUGUUAGGAAGAUUAUUAUUCUUGUUUCCUUCCUCAAGCACCAAAGUACAGUUUCUGACACCGGCGUCUGUGCUGGACGCCCCGGGGCGGGGCCCACCUGGCGCCGCGGGGCGGGCCGUGCGAGCGGCGGGCGCAAUAAAGCAAAGCGCGCUGCGGGUCGCACGUGUGUCUUCAAGCUGAGGGGCCACCCACCCCACGUUGGUAAGAACCCUUGCUCCCAGUCCCUGACCCACCCAGAUCUAAACUAUCUCACCCUCAUUUGGGGUGACUUUGCAUGGAGCAUCUCUGGGACCUAGUUUAUCUGCCAGCAGUCAUGCAAAGCCCAACUGUCCUGUUCUUGGGCUUAGAGAUGUUAGUCAAAAGAUUGCUUUCCUGAGCCUCAGUUUCUGUGUCUGUAGAGUGGGUAAAAUCCAUCAGGAGCAGAUGGGCCCCAGUCCUCUGCCCAGUUGGGUUGGGGAUAGUGAUGCCUCCUGCCUUCAAAGGUAGGGUUUGAAUAUGACAAGAAAUGUGGACUGCAGAAGGGGAAAUAUAUAGUCUGUCCAUGGUAUCCAUGGGGAUUGGUUCCAGAGCCCCACAGGUAUGGAGGGCCCAGUGUAAGUUUUUGGGUUUCAGGGGAAAAGACUCAUCCAAAGUCUGAUUUUCAGACUCAGCAGAAAAGAAGCAGAAAGGCUGGAAGCACUGUCAUUGUCACAUUGCAGGGUGGUGAUGGUGGGAUUUGUAGACAGUGUACCUUUCAGCAGAGUUUAGGCAGCUUCCCAUGAUUCAUGUGUAUGUAAACUGAUACAGUUAUCAAGUUUACCCUCAAUUUAUACAGUAGCCACUGUCAAAGAACAUGGUUUAUCUGGAGACUGUCACAAAAUGUUUCAAGUUUUGGAGAAUGUUUCACAAUUGUUUCAACAGCUAAAUCAUCAAAUGGGCAUGGGUAUGUGUGUUACCCGAAAACAACUGUUCCCGGUUCUAGGAGGGUUAUUUUCCCCCUCUAUUCAAUGAAGUUUGGGCCUCAAUCUGUAUUUCCACUAAUAAGGUUGACCUGAGAUUGAUGGAAAUAGAUUACUCUUUAAAUACAUACUAUGGAGAACGGAAAGUGUAGUCUCAAGGGAGGUUUAGAUUCUUGCUGACAAGUACCUGAGGGGGUGAGAAGCUGUGUCCUCUGAAGGCUUAGCUCAGAAUGGGGAGCAUCGGAACAUCUUUUUGGAAGGGCUCUUCUCUUCCUCCAAAGUGAUGUGGGCCGAGAGGGAAUUUCUGGGGAAGUGUGGAGUUGGGAGGAUGCCAGUUGGGCAGGGAUAUGGGAAAGGGCUGAGAAGAGGAAGCCCUAAGGGAUGUGUAACACCUGUAGAUUUCCGAGGCAGCAGAACUGGUGAGAUGGAAGUGUUUUAUUCUGCAUCGGCCAGUCUGAGGGCAGCAGGAUUGGGGUGUGGGGUUUGAGGGCACUGGGACCCCCAUGAUGUCCAGCACUGGGCUCUGAUCUCCACUGAGGACAUGGUGCACCCUGGGACCUUUGACACCCGGGGAUCUGAGGAG
ensembl:lncRNA